rnacentral:rRNA from 1 species
CAGCCGCCACGGUAAUACGAGGGGGGCAAGCGUUGUUCGGAAUUAUUGGGCGUAAAGGGUGCGUAGGCGGUUUCGUAAGUCUUAUGUGAAAUCUAUGGGCUCAACCCAUAGUCUGCAUGGGAAACUGCGAGGCUUGAGGAUGGGAGAGGUGAGUGGAAUUUCCGGUGUAGCGGUGAAAUGCGUAGAUAUCGGAAGGAACACCUGUGGCGAAAGCGGCUCACUGGACCAUUUCUGACGCUGAUGCACGAAAGCUAGGGGAGCAAACAGGAUUAGAUACCCGAGUAGUCCCUGUCUCUUAUAC